rnacentral:rRNA from 1 species
CCUACGUGUGGCAGCAGUGGGGAAUAUUGGACAAUGGGGGGAACCCUGAUCCAGCGAAGCCGCGUGAGUGAAGAAGUAUUUCGGUGUGUAAAGCCCUAUCUGCAGGGAAGAAAGAAAUGACGGUACCUGACUAAGAAGCCCCGGCUAACUACGUGCCAGCAGCCGCGGGAAUCCUUCGGGGGCAAGAGUUAUACGGAUUUACUGGGUGUAAAGGGAGCGUAGACGGCGAUGCAAGUCUGAAGUGAAAGGCGGGGGCCCAACCCCCGGACUGCUUUGGAAACUGUAUGGCUAGAGUGCAGGAGAGGUAAGUUGAAUUCCUAGUGUAGCGGUGAAAUGCGUAGAUAUUAGGAGGAACACCAGUGGCGAAGGCGGCUUACUGGACUGUAACUGACGUUGAGGCUCGAAAGCGUGGGGAGCAAACAGGAUUAGAUACCCGAGUAGUC